AAUAAAUACUUGUUUUAUGAAUGAAUGUAUGAAUAAAGGGAAGUUAGGCCCGCGGGGCCCAGGCGCGGUCCGCCUUCCUCCCAGCCCCGGGGAACGCGCGGCUCUGCUUCCUCACCCCCGCACCCUCCUCCUCCUCCUCUUCCGGCCACGGCAGGUCCAGGGGGGACGGGGUUAGAAAGGGACAGAUUUGAAAGCCGUUCCAGCAACAAACACCCACGUAGCUGCAGCCUCUUAUCACUGCACCUCUUGCCAAAGUGCGGUCCACACACGUGCAAUGAGAAAGAAUUAAAGGGGCUUGUUUGAUAACACACGCAAAACUAUGUAAGACUAAAUUUAAAAAAUUACAGAUUUUCCCUGUUGCCAAAAGGGAAAGAGACCCUUCUUUUUUCUUGAGAAACUUAGUAUUUGUGAAUGCUUCCUCUAUUUAAUAUGUAUGCAAAUGUUUUUAAAGACCUAGGAAUGCUUUUCUUGAGGACCUGGAAGCCAUUUCUUUAAAAUGUAAACAUCAAGGAAGAUAG
rnacentral:lncRNA from 1 species